AUGGAUCUGAGAACGCUGUCUGGGCUUGGUGCCAAGUGCUGGUAUUUCACAGCAGCGACCGCCUCACAGACGGGCUGUGGGAAGCAGGAGGGAGACUCUCUUAGGGUGCCACUACUAUGGAGACACAGCUGGGCUGAACAAGAUUUGCUUCAAACGACAACAAGAGAGACAGAAAGUAUCUGGUUCAACCGCUGCCCAGGCAGGCAGGCACCAGAAGAGCUAGCAGCCAAUCCGGCCAUGCUCGAAGCCAGCUCUGCAGCUCAGCCAAUCAGUGACAUCACUGAUCUUUUGGAAUAUUACUGGGAUAACUGUCCAAAUGAAGUUCCAAGUACUCUAUACAAAUGUCUACAGAUGCACGGCUGGUGGUGUGGCUCAGACGGAGCAAGGGUUACAUCAAGGCUGUUCUCUGGACCGUGCAAACAGUCUAGACCAAUGACCUGCAGCAUCAUGCCCUUUGAAGAAGAGGCAAGUUCGGUCAUGAUGAAGAAAAAUCAAGGCGUACCCCCUUUAACAAUAGGGAGCAGCUCGAGGCUGCAAAGAGGUUACUGAUCAUUAAAAUGGUUUUGUAAAGGAAUGACUCAGAAAUAACA
rnacentral:lncRNA from 1 species